rnacentral:ribozyme from 13 species
GUGAAAAAAAAAAAAAAAAAAAAAAAAAAAAAAAAAAAA